GGUCGAGUAGCUCAGUUGGAUAGAGCAUCUGCCUUCUAAGCAGACGGUCAAAGGUUCGAAUCCUUUCGCGAUCACAA
rnacentral:tRNA from 1 species